UACGUAGGGGGCAAGCGUUGUCCGGAAUCAUUGGGCGUAAAGAGCGUGUAGGCGGCUCGAUAAGUCUGCUGUGAAAGUCCAGGGCUCAACCCUGGAAGGCCGGUGGAAACUGUCGGGCUAGAGUCCGGAAGAGGCGAGUGGAAUUCCCGGUGUAGCGGUGAAAUGCGCAGAUAUCGGGAGGAACACCAAUGGCGAAGGCAGCUCGCUGGGACGGUACUGACGCUGAGACACGAAAGCGUGGGGAGCAAACAGG
rnacentral:rRNA from 1 species